rnacentral:lncRNA from 10 species
CCUUUAUUAGUUUACCAGUCAUUCUUAAUCUUUUCAUUUUCAAGUCUCAGAAAUAUAUGAAAAAUUUUGAUCCAUUUUGAACUUAAUGAAUAUUAACAAGUUUUAAUGUUUACCAUUCAUAUUAAGAAACUCAUUUUCAUUGUUUUAAAAGUUUGUAUAUUUUCACAUACAAAUGGAAAAACACAUUUAAUCAUUAAGACAAUGGUUAAAGAGUGGGCUUUUCCAAUUAAUGAGUUUAGUUGUCAUGUAUAUCAUACAUGAAUGACCAAUUUUCAAAGAAUUUCAAAUAAAAGUACCAUAGACUACAAAAAAUACAUAAAACUACACUAUUAUAAAUCUAUCAGCUUUUGUCAGAAGACACUUAGGAAUCUUCCUAAGUUUUAAAGCAGAAGUUUCCAAAUGCCCAUCUCAAUUUAAGGCCCUAUGAGGAUCUGUGGCAAAAUGAGAAAAAUAAGAUGAAAUACACAGACUUGUUGAAAUAUACAUGCUUGUUAUUAAGUUUGCUAACAUUUUUCUUCCUGAAAUUAUGGCUCUUCUAUUUUGUAAUAUCCUCCAUUCCUUGCUCAUAUCCCAUUAAGACAUAUUUCCCAGUUAAUUUCAAACUACCGAUUAAUUUGUAUAAAGUAAAUAUUCUUUUUUUUUUUGAGACGGAGUCUC